rnacentral:rRNA from 1 species
GUGCCAGCAGCCGCGGUAAUACAGAGGGUGCAAGCGUUAAUCGGAAUUACUGGGCGUAAAGCGCGCGUAGGCGGUUACGUAAGUUGGAGGUGAAAUCCCCGGGCUCAACCUGGGAAUUGCCUUCAAAACUGCGUGGCUAGAGUGUGGGAGAGGAAGGUAGAAUUCCAGGUGUAGCGGUGAAAUGCGUAGAUAUCUGGAGGAAUACCGAUGGCGAAGGCAGCCUUCUGGCCUAACACUGACGCUGAGGUGCGAAAGCAUGGGGAGCAAACAGGAUUAGAUACCCGCGUAGUCC